rnacentral:piRNA from 1 species
GAACACCUUUGGUAGAUGGUC